UCCAAAAGAAGUUCGGAGUAGGGUCGUCCGUGGUCGGAAGAAGUUUGGAAGGGAUUCGGAGAAUAAUUGAUCACUGUAGAAGAUCGACUAAUAGUGAAGCCCAGAGAGCUUUUGGAGCGGCUCGGCAGAUGAAUGGAGAAGCUCAUUGUCAGAGAAGUCCGGAUGGUAUUAUGAAAGUUUGGACGAUCGAGGGGGUUCAAAGAGAUGCCACAUAAGGUCGGAAGCCGAAAGAGUCCCGGAAGGGUCGGUCUUUUACAAACUUCGGUCGGAGGGUAUUUCAUACCCAACACCUUCAAAUUGAACUCAUAGACUUAGGUCAAUUCUUUCCUACUUUACCUGACUUUGUGUG
rnacentral:lncRNA from 1 species